ACUGAGACACGGNCCAGACUCNUACGGGAGGCAGCAGUAGGGAAUCUUCGGCAAUGGACGAAAGUCUGACCGAGCAACGCCGCGUGAGUGAAGAAGGUUUUCGGAUCGUAAAACUCUGUUGUUAGAGAAGAACAAGGAUGAGAGUAAAAUGUUCAUCCCUUGACGGUAUCUAACCAGAAAGCCACGGCUAACUACGUGCCAGCAGCCGCGGUAAUACGUAGGUGGCAAGCGUUGUCCGGAUUUAUUGGGCGUAAAGCGAGCGCAGGCGGUUUCUUAAGUCUGAUGUGAAAGCCCCCGGCUCAACCGGGGAGGGUCAUUGGAAACUGGGAGACUUGAGUGCAGAAGAGGAGAGUGGAAUUCCAUGUGUAGCGGUGAAAUGCGUAGAUAUAUGGAGGAACACCAGUGGCGAANGCGGCUCUCUGGUCUGUAACUGACGCUGANGCUCGAAAGCGUGGGGAGCGAACAGGAUUAGAUACCCUGGUAGUCCACGCCGUAAACGAUGAGUGCUAAGUGUUGGAGGGUUUCCGCCCUUCAGUGCUGCAGCAAACGCAUUAAGCACUCCGCCUGGGGAGUACGACCGCANGGNUGAAACUCNAAGGAAUUGACGGGGGCCCGCACAANCGGUGGANCANGUGGUUUAAUUCGAAGCNACGCGAANAACCUUACC
rnacentral:rRNA from 1 species